GUGGCUGAGAGGUAAGGUGCUUGGCUUCUGAACCAGGAGGUCCCGGGUUCGAAUCCUGGC
rnacentral:tRNA from 1 species